rnacentral:rRNA from 1 species
UACGUAGGGGGCAAGCGUUGUCCGGAAUCAUUGGGCGUAAAGCGCGUGUAGGCGGCCCGGUAAGUCCGCUGUGAAAGUCGGGGGCUCAACCCUCGAAUGCCGGUGGAUACUGUCGGGCUAGAGUGCGGAAGAGGCGAGUGGAAUUCCUGGUGUAGCGGUGAAAUGCGCAGAUAUCAGGAGGAACACCAAUUGCGAAGGCAGCCCGCUGGGACGUGACUGACGCUGAGACGCGAAAGCGUGGGGAGCAAACAGG